rnacentral:rRNA from 1 species
CAGGGCUUUCGUCUUGUAAUUGGAAUGAUGGUGAUGUACAACCUCACCAAAGUACCAAUUGGAGGGCAAGUCUGGUGCCAGCAGCCGCGGUAAUUCCAGCUCCAAUAGCGUAUAUUAAACUUGUUGCAGUUAAAAAGCUCGUAGUUGUAUUUCAGCCUCGCGUUUUUUCCCUGGUUUUGGGUCUUUUCGCUGGCUUUUUUUUUACUUUGAGAAAAUUAGAGUGUUUCAAGCAGACUUUUGUCUUGAAUACUUCAGCAUGGAAUAAUAGAGUAGGACCUUGGUUCUAUUUUGUUGGUUUUGAGCCUUGGUAAUGGUUAAUAGGAACGGUUGGGGGCAUUCGUAUUUAACUGUCAGAGGUGAAAUUCUUAGAUUUGUUAAAGACGAACCACUGCGAAAGCAUUUGCCAAGGACGUUUUCAUUAAUCAAGAAC